rnacentral:lncRNA from 1 species
ACAAAUACCCACCUUAUUACUACAAAUCUCCACCUCCACCAUCUCCCUCACCACCUCCUCCGUAUGUGUACAAGUCCCCACCACCUCCAUCUCCCUCUCCUCCUCCUCCAUAUGUCUACAAGUCACCACCUCCUCCAUCACCUUCACCUCCCCCACCAUAUGUCUAUAAGAGUCCACCACCACCCUCUCCAUCACCACCACCUCCAUAUGUCUACAAGUCUCCUCCUCCACCAACACCCUCACCUCCCCCGCCCUAUGUUUACAAGUCACCACCACCUCCUUCCCCUUCACCUCCUCCUCCAUAUGUCUACAAGUCACCACCUCCUCCAUCUCCUUCACCUCCCCCACCAUAUGUCUAUAAGAGUCCACCACCACCCUCUCCAUCACCACCACCUCCAUAUGUCUACAAGUCUCCUCCUCCACCAUCACCUUCUCCUCCCCCACCCUAUAUUUAUAAGUCGCCACCACCUCCAUCUCCUUCACCUCCUCCUCCAUAUGUCUACAAGUCACCACCUCCACCAUCCCCAUCUCCACCACCACCAUAUGUCUACAAAUCUCCACCCCCACCAUCACCUUCACCCCCUCCACCAUAUGUAUAUAAGUCACCACCUCCUCCAUCUCCCUCUCCUCCCCACCAUAUGUUUACAAGUCACCACCUCCACCGUCUCCAUCCCCACCACCUCCAUACGUUUAUAAGUCACCUCCUCCAGCAUCUCCUUCACCACCUCCUCCAUAUAUCUACAAGUCACCACCACCACCAUCCCCUUCACCACCCCCUCCAUACGUCUAUAAGUCCCCUCCUCCUCCUUCUCCUUCACCCCCUCCUCCAUAUGUUUACAAAUCUCCUCCCCCACCAUCUCCUUCACCUCCUCCACCCUAUGUCCAUAAGUCACCUCCACCUCCUUCAGCUUCACCACCUCCUCCAUACUACUACAAAUCUCCACCUCCACCUUCUCCAUCACCU